rnacentral:pre_miRNA from 1 species
AGGAACAACGGCAGUGGCGGGGCCAGCUCUGGAGCCCUAGAGUCAGCUCCCGCAGUCACUCUGGAGCUCUCCGUCUGCAGGGCCUGGAGGCUCCGGGGCGGG